UCUCUCUAGGUCUGUAUAACAGUAUGUAUCUCUAGGUCUCUAUAACAGUCUGUAUCUCUCUCUAGGUCUGUAUAACAGUCUGUAUCUCUAGGUCUGUAUAACAGUAUGUAUCUCUCUCUAGGUCUGUAUAACAGUAUAUAUCUCUCUAGGUCUGUAUAACAGUAUGUAUCUCUAGGUCUCUAUAACAGUAUGUAUCUCUAGGUCUCUAUAACAGUAUGUAUCUCUCUCUAGGUCUGUAUAACAGUAUGUAUCUCUAGGUCUGUAUAACAGUAUGUAUCUCUAGGUCUCUAUAACAGUAUGUAUCUCUAGGUCUGUAUAACAGUAUGUAUCUCUAGGUCUGUAUAACAGUAUGUAUCUCUCUAGGUCUGUAUAACAGUAUGUAUCUCUAGGUCUCUAUAACAGUAUGUAUCUCCAGGUCUGUAUAACAGUAUGUAUCUCUAGGUCUCUAUAACAGUAUGUAUCUCUAGGUCUCUAUAACAGUAUGUAUCUCUAGGUCUCUAUAACAGUAUGUAUCUCUAGGUCUGUAUAACAGUAUGUAUCUCUAGGUCUCUAUAACAGUAUGUAUCUCUAGGUCUGUAUAACACUAUGUAUCUCUAGGUCUGUAUAACAGUAUGUAUCUCUCUAGGUCUCUAUAACAGUAUGUAUUUCUAGGUCUCUAUAACAGUAUGUAUCUCUUGGUCUCUAUAACAGUAUGUAUCUCUCUGCAGGUCUGUAUAACAGUAUUUUUCUGCAGGUCUGUAUAACAGUAUCUCUCUCUAGGUCUGUAUAACAGUAUGUAUCUCUCUAGGUCUCUAUAACAGUAUGUUUCUCCAGGUCUGUAUGACAGUCUGUAUCUCUAGGUCUGUAUAACAGUCUGUAUCUCUCUAGGUCUGUAUAACAGUAUGUAUCUCUAGGUCUGUAUAACAGUAUGUAUCUCUAGGUCUGUAUAACAGUAUGUAUCUCUCUCUAGGUCUCUAUAACAGUAUGUAUCUCUCCAGGUCUGUAUAACAGUAUGUAUCUCUCUAGGUCUGUAUAACAGUAUGUAUCUCUAGGUCUCUAUAACAGUAUGUAUCUCUAGGUCUGUAUAACAGUAUGUAUCUCUAGGUCUGUAUAACAGUAUGUAUCUCUAGGUCUGUAUAACAGUAUGUAUCUCUCUAGGUCUGUAUAACAGUAUGUAUCUCUAGGUCUGUAUAACAGUAUGUAUCUCUAGGUCUCUAUAACAGCAUGUAUCUCUCUAGGUCUGUAUAACAGUAUGUAUCUCUCUAGGUCUGUAUAACAGUAUGUAUCUCUAGGUCUCUAUAACAGUAUGUAUCUCUCUCUAGGUCUGUAUAACAGUAUGUAUCUCUCUAGGUCUGUAUAACAGUAUGUAUCUCUAGGUCUGUAUAACAGUAUGUAUCUCUCUAGGUCUGUAUAACAGUAUGUAUCUCUCUAGGUCUGUAUAACAGUAUGUAUCUCUCUAGGUCUGUAUAACAGUAUGUAUCUCUCUAGGUCUGUAUAACAGUAUAUAUCUCUCUCUAGGUCUGUAUAACAGUAUGUAUCUCUCUAGGUCUGUAUAACAGUAUGUAUCUCUAGGUCUCUAUAACAGUAUGUAUCUCUCUAGGUCUCUAUAACAGUAUGUAUCUCUAGGUCUGUAUAACAGUAUGUAUCUCUAGGUCUGUAUAACAGUAUGUAUCUCUCUAGGUCUGUAUAACAGUAUGUAUCUCCAGGUCUGUAUAACAGUAUAUAUCUCCAGGUCUGUAUAACAGUAUGUAUCUCCAGGUCUCUAUAACAGUAUGUAUCUCCAGGUCUCUAUAACAGUAUGUAUCUCUCUAGGUCUGUAUAACAGUAUGUAUCUCUAGGUCUGUAUAACAGUAUCUCUAUCUAGGUCUGUAUAACAGUAUGUAUCUCUCUAGGUCUCUAUAACAGUAUGUAUCUCCAGGUCUGUAUGACAGUCUGUAUCUCUAGGUCUGUAUAACAGUAUGUAUCUCUCUAGGUCUGUAUAACAGUAUGUAUCUCUAGGUCUGUAUAACAGUAUGUAUCUCCAGGUCUGUAUAACAGUAUGUAUCUCUAGGUCUCUAUUACAGUAUGUAUCUCUCUAGGUCUGUAUAACAGUAUGUAUCUCUCUAGGUCUGUAUAACAGUAUGUAUCUCCAGGUCUAUAUAACAGUCUGUAUCUCCAGGUCUAUAUAACAGUCUGUAUCUCCAGGUCUGUAUAACAGUAUGUAUCUCUAGGUCUCUAUAACAGUAUGUAUCUCUAGGUCUCUAUAACACUAUGUAUCUCUCUCUAGGUCUGUAUAACAGUAUGUAUCUCUAGGUCUCUAUAACAGUAUGUAUCUCUAGGUCUCUAUAACAGUAUGUAUCUCUAGGUCUCUAUAACAGUAUGUAUCUCUAGGUCUCUAUAACAGUAUGUAUCUCUCUAGGUCUGUAUAACAGUAUGUAUCUCUAGGUCUGUAUAACAGUCUGUAUCUCUCUAGGUCUGUAUAACAGUAUAUAUCUCU